UGAUGACUGUUCCUCUCAUUGUUGCAAGCCUUAAACAAUGGGAUUUUAUGUCAUCAGAUACUAAAGUUGGCCUUUCUUCACUCAAAGUGUCUUUAGGUGGUUGGGCCAUCUAUGACACUAUUGAAUUUUGCAGGGUCACACAUUC